rnacentral:rRNA from 1 species
AUGGUACAUCACGUAUGUGUGUUUGAUUGUAGAGGCAUUAAUAAUAUUACUAUUCGUUAUCGUCAUCCUAUUCCUAGGCUAGAUGAUAUGCUUGAUGAAUUGAGUGGCUCUACAAUAUUCUCCAAAGUUGAUUUGCGUAGUGGAUACCAUCAAAUUCGUAUGAAAUUGGGAGAUGAAUGGAAAACAACAUUCAAAACUAAGUUUGGAUUAUAUGAGUGGUUAGUCAUGCCUUUUGGGUUAACUAAUGCACCUAGUACUUUCAUGAGAUUAAUGAACGAAGUUUUACGUGCUUUCAUUGGACGAUUUGUGGUAGUUUACUUUGAUGACAUAUUGAUUUAUAGCAGAUCUUUGGAAGAACAUUUGGAAUAUUUACGUGCUGUUUUUAUUGCUCUACGUGAUGCACGUUUGUUUGGUAACCUUGGGAAGUGCACCUUUUGCACCGACCGAGUAUCUUUUCUUGGCUAUGUUGUUACUCCACAGGGAAUUGAAGUUGAUAAAGCCAAGAUUGAAGCUAUUGAGAGUUGGCCGCAACCCAAAACGGUCACACAAGUGAGGAGUUUUCUUGGCCUCGCUGGAUUCUAUAGGCGUUUUGUGAGAGAUUUCAGCACCAUUGCUGCACCUCUCAAUGAGCUUACAAAGAAAGAUGUGCCUUUUGUUUGGGGUACCGCACAGGAAGAAGCCUUCACGGUAUUGAAAGAUAAGUUGACACAUGCUCCUUUACUCCAACUUCCUGAUUUUAAUAAGACUUUUGAGCUUGAAUGUGAUGCUAGUGGAAUUGGAUUAGGAGGUGUGUUAUUACAAGAUGGCAAACCUGUUGCAUACUUUUCUGAAAAAUUGAGUGGGCCUAGUCUGAAUUAUUCUACUUAUGAUAAAGAAUUAUAUGCUCUUGUUCGGACUUUAGAAACAUGGCAACAUUAUUUAUGGCCCAAAGAAUUUGUUAUACAUUCUGAUCAUGAAUCUUUGAAACAUAUUAAAAGUCAAGCUAAACUGAAUCGUAGACAUGCUAAAUGGGUUGAAUUCAUUGAGACUUUCCCUUAUGUCAUUAAACACAAGAAGGGAAAAGAAAAUGUUAUUGCUGAUGCAUUGUCUCGUCGCUAUACUAUGCUUUCACAACUUGACUUCAAAAUAUUUGGUUUGGAGACCAUCAAAGAUCAAUAUGUGCAUGAUGCUGAUUCUAAAGAUGUAAUGCAGAAUUGUAAAGAAGGAAGAAUGUGGAACAAGUUUGUUGUUAACGAUGGAUUUGUGUUUCGUGCUAACAAGCUAUGCAUUCCAGCUAGCUCCGUUCGUCUUUUGUUGUUGCAGGAGGCGCAUGGAGGAGGAUUAAUGGGACACUUUAGCGUGAAGAAGACGGAGGACGUACUUGCUACACAUUUCUUUUGGCCAAAGAUGAGACGGGAUGUUGAGCGUUUUAUUGCUUGA